UUCAUAUAGAUCUUUCUGAUAAAGCUUACUUAGUUUUAACAUUUCCUUCUCCUAUAAUACUAAACAGUGGAGUUUUUGUCAUGAGUAUUCUACCACUGUGAAAAAUGUAGUCACGUCUUUGGCUAAUAGUACACCAGACGGUUUCUUCAUCAGUGUAAAUAUACCCACUGUCGAAUAUAUAAAUAUACUCACUGUUGUCUGCCAUUGGUUUGAAUGUCCACUUCCUGUCACAAGUGCACAUCUUCGGGACAUAAUUAGGGUUGCCACCUUUUCUGGAAAAAAAUACCGGCCUUCCUAUAUAUUUAUAUUUAUAUAUUUACCCCUAUUAAUAACAUUGGGAUCAGCCAUCAUUUUUACCGGCCAGGCCGGUAAAAUACCGGCCAGGUGGCAACCCUAGACAUAAUCUGUCUGUAAACACUUAAGCAGGUGUUGGAAAGUGGCACAGGUGGAGUGUUGUUGACCUCUGCCAGUGGUUAGCCUGAUAAUGUAUUCACAUAACAAGGCAAAGCACCUUUUAUUGUUCAUGAUAUGUCACACCAGAAAUUUUUUUUACUAAUAAUCUGCUUAAAGGAAAAGGAAAGGCUGUGCCCCAAAGCUGUACCUGAUUGCUGAAGUAAUCUUUUUAUUCUGUUCCAUUUUUUCCUGUACAGCCCUCUGUUAUUAUUCUUUAUAAGAGCUCCAUUGCGGUUGCCAUUUUCUUUUAAGUUACGUUAUCAAGAUGGCGAUUUCAGCAUGCCAAAUAUUACAACUACCCGAGAGCUAAAGGGUAGGAUUUGCUGCGUCCGUGUACGGGAGUGCUAGUCUCAUAGCGCGCGCAUGGAUUUUAAUUGUUCGCAUGCACUGCCUAAGACUUCCAUGUACUGCACAUGUUACGUGUUCUUGGUCUUGCUGAAGUAGAGGUGAAUUAUGGGUUGUUGUUUUUUUUUUUACCCAAGUCAUUGUUUUAUUUAUAAAUUGUGAAGUUACAGGAGAAGGGGUUAAAACAGAGGAGAUUGAGUAGCACCGAUGUCCACAAUAGAUGUAAGCCUUUUAAUAAAGGUUAACGCUUAACUAGCUUUUCCUUGUCCUUUAACUCUUCUUUUUUGUUAUUAGCUGCUACCUAAAAAUGUUACCCACAGCUCGAUUGAGCGGGUGGUUGGCAAAAGUGACCCUGUAGUCUAUAUUAGCAUCCCACGAUACAAAGCGACAGGAGAUCCUAAAGGAUUUGCAUUUAUAGAGUUUGAGACUCAAGAGCAAGCAGCUAAAGCAAUACAGAUUUUAAAUAAUCCACCUGAAGAAGCACCAAGAAAAGCAGGGAUUUUUCCUACAACAAUGAAAAAUAAAGCCCUUCCUUCCACCUGUCAACAUAACAGAAGGCAACAUAACAGAGGGCUGUGCUACUGGUAAGA